rnacentral:rRNA from 1 species
GACGAACGCUGGCGGCGUGCUUAACACAUGCAAUUCGAACGGAAAGGCCCUGCUUUUGUGGGGUGCUCGAGUGGCGAACGGGUGAGUAACACGUGAGUAACCUGCCCUUGACUUUGGUAUAACUUCAGGAAACUGGGGCUAAUACCGGAUAGGAGCUCCUUCUGCAUGGUGGGGGUUGGAAAGUUUCGGCGGUUGGGGAUGGACUCGCGGCUUAUCAGCUUGUUGGUGGGGUAGUGGCUUACCAAGUCUUUGACGGGUAGCCGGCCUGAGAGGGUGACCGGCCACAUUGGGACUGAGAUACGGCCCAGACUCCUACGGGAGGCAGCAGUGGGGAAUAUUGCAGAAUGGGCGAAAGCCGGAUGCAGCAACGCCGCGUGCGGGAUGACGGCCUUAGGGGUGUAAACCGCUUUCGCCUGUGACGAAGCGUGAGUGACAGUAAUGGGUAAAGAAGAACCGGCUAACUACGUG